AGGUACAGCUACAGCAAUCAGGGACUGAACUGGUGAAGCCUGCGUCCUCAGUGAAAAUUUCCUGCAAGGCUUCUGGCUACACCUUCACCAGUAACUAUAUGCACUGGAUAAGGCAGCAGCCUGGAAAUGGCCUUGAGUGGAUUGGGUGGAUUUAUCCUGGAAAUGGUAAUACUAAGUACAAUCAAAAGUUCGAUGGGAAGGCAACACUCACUGCAGACAAAUCCUCCAGCACAGCCUAUAUGCAGCUCAGCAGCCUGACAUCUGAGGACUCUGCAGUCUAUUUCUGUGCAAGAC
rnacentral:lncRNA from 1 species